UAUAUUAAUCUCUCAGUCUCUAGACCCCAGCUUUUAUUUUAAAUUACCUCCUUUGCUUUGCACAUGGAAGGUUUGAGAGUGAAGCCGCCCAAGGCCACAAUUUAAUUUGGGUGAAUCACACACCUAAGCAGACCUGAGAAACCAGAGAGUGUUGGCAACACCACCAGCCCAGAGACAGCCCUGCAGACCAGUGCAUGGUCUGAGGCAGACCAGAUUGUUAUUAAAUAUGAUCUCAGCACAGCUAAUGUUUUAGAAACUAGAAGUUUAUUAGGCUCAAUAUUGACAUUCCAAUCUCCAGCAGCUGACAGAACAAGCACAAAUUCAUCUUCUGGCUGACUGGGCACUCCUCUGCUCCUCUCACAUUGACAGACUCAGCUGAAGCACAUUUGCAGUUUUCUUGGCAGAUAAAUCAAGGAUUUUUGCCAUCUGAGCUAUCUCAGGCCAGACUAAUUCACUGCCUGGUCCAUGCACCCCCAGCUCAGGGCACGGGGCACACACCUUGGUGCCAGGGAGCUCUCAGGCCAGGUGACACUGCCAGAAGGGAGCUGUGGCACUGAGAAGACGCAGAUAUGUGGUUGUGUGUGUGUUGGAAUCCAAUCCAAAAAACCUCCUCAGAAAACAGAGCACUGUAUUGAACCUGAUCGGAUUGUGAGGAAAUUCUGUCCACUGUGUAUACUUGAGAGACAAAGGAUUUUCUGCUUGACCACGAAGGCUAGGGAUGGACUCAGUGCCCCUGGACCAUGGAGCUCAGGAAUGGUGCAUGAAGACCUUUCAGAUGGCUCCAGGGUCACUGGAGGAGGCAGGGCUCUCUCAGACUCCCUGAGUUUCUGUGAUUCCUCAAGAGCAGGCAGAAAAGCAGAUCUCUCUGGAGGGAGCACCUGCAGGAGGUCCAGACAAGGAUUUUCUCAUCAAGGGAACUGCCUGCUGUGCCUCUGCAAUGUUCACUGAAAAUUGGUGUAUAUUCCUCAUCAAUUCAUACCAAAGAAGAUCCAAGGCAGACAUCAACCACUUCUCAUCCUAAUGGAAAGAAAAAAAAAACCCCAAAACACUAAAAAGCUGUGAAUACCAGCUGAUCACACAAGUGAAAAGGGCAGCAAUUCAAUUAGUCAACCCAUUAAUUAUUAACACAGUAUUUGUUUCUUCACUUUCCUGAGGAAAAACAUAAAACCCUAACAUAAAAAUCAAAAUGGAUGAUAAAAGCAAUCCCUAAGUGUGUAUUUAUCAACUCUCACUUUCAAAUUUGCAUAGAGCUGCCACCUGUAAGAGAAAAAAAUAAAAAAGUCCUGUUUGAA